GCGUUAACGAACGAGACCUUAACCUGCUAAAUAGCCAGGCUAGCUUUGGCUGGUCGCCGGCUUCUUAGAGGGACUAUCGGCUCAAGCCGAUGGAAGUUUGAGGCAAUAACAGGUCUGUGAUGCCCUUAGAUAUUCUGGGCCGCACGCGCGCUACACUGACAGAGCCAACGAGUUCAUCACCUUGGCCGGAAGGUCUGGGUAAUCUUUUGAAACUUGAUCGUGCUGGGGAUAGUCCAUUGCAAUUAUUGGACUUCAACGAGGAAUUCCUAGUAAGCGUGAGUCAUCAGCUCGCGUUGAUUACGUCCCUGCCCUUUGUACACACCGCCCGUCGCUAAUACCGAUUGAAUGGGUC
rnacentral:rRNA from 1 species